AUAUCACCCAUACAUCCAGAUAUAAUUGAAAAAUCUGGAUGCUUUGAUGGUGUAG
ensembl:miRNA mdo-mir-7379 mdo-mir-7379